AUUGAACGCUGGCGGCAGGCCUAACACAUGCAAGUCGAGCGGAUGAAGGGAGCUUGCUCCUGGAUUCAGCGGCGGACGGGUGAGUAAUGCCUAGGAAUCUGCCUGGUAGUGGGGGAUAACGUCCGGAAACGGGCGCUAAUACCGCAUACGUCCUGAGGGAGAAAGUGGGGGAUCUUCGGACCUCACGCUAUCAGAUGAGCCUAGGUCGGAUUAGCUAGUUGGUGGGGUAAAGGCCUACCAAGGCGACGAUCCGUUACUGGUCUGAGAGGAUGAUCAGUCACACUGGAACUGAGACACGGUCCAGACUCCUACGGGAGGCAGCAGUGGGGAAUAUUGGACAAUGGGCGAAAGCCUGAUCCAGCCAUGCCGCGUGUGUGAAGAAGGUCUUCGGAUUGUAAAGCACUUUAAGUUGGGAGGAAGGGCAGUAAGUUAAUACCUUGCUGUUUUGACGUUACCAACAGAAUAAGCACCGGCUAACUUCGUG
rnacentral:rRNA from 1 species